AGUGGAGACGUUUUAGGGAGCACAACAGGCUUCAGCAGUAUCCUCCCUGUAGACGCCAAAUCUUCUUCACAGCCUGUGAAAACGACAGAUAUCUCUCACCUUGUACGAAGGAAACGAAAACCAGAAACAGAAGAGAUCUCAGAGGACAAAAAACAGAAAACUGAAAGUUCGGUUGAUAACACAUCGUCAUCGUCAUCAUCGUCAAAAGCUGAACAGAAAGAUUCCAACAGUGACCUUGCCCCAAGCAAUAAGGAAUCUGCUACAGAAGAGUCAAAGAAGCCUGGAGCCACCAGUACAACAACAUCUUCUACAGCUUAGUGAAUCCUCAUAUAUUGUAUUUUAUUAUUCUUCCUUCCCAUUGGGCAAGAACAUUUACUCUUGUCGUCUCAGACAGUAUCUCUCCUUUUACACAACACAUUUUCUCCCCCGACCCCCCCUUCUAAAACUAUUUCAAAAGUGAGAUCCCAAUUCACAAUCAUGUCUUCGUCAUUACAAUCCAACAAACCCAUUUUCUUGCAGGAUUUUUUUUUAAUGAUUCUUUAGAUAAUAAAUGUACAUUGUUUUUGCAAAACUUUUUAA